CUUUUUUGAGAUAUCUUCAAUCUACCCAGCCUACCACAGGUAAGUUUGUAACCUACCACAGCAACAUCUUCAUCUGCAAUUAGUGCUCUAGUUCCAUCCUCAAUUGCAUUGAGUGUUCCAUCUACAUCUGGAAUAAUUGUUACAUCUUCAGCUGCUACAAGUGUCCCACAACCUCCACAACAAUCAACACAACCUUCUGCUGGUAAAUUUAUGAUUUAGAAAUGUUGCUGAAUGAUUAUUUAAUU
rnacentral:lncRNA from 1 species